GACGAACGCUGGCGGCGCGCUUAACACAUGCAAGUCGAACGGAAAGGCCCUGCUUUUGUGGGGUGCUCGAGUGGCGAACGGGUGAGUAACACGUGAGUAACCUGCCCUUGACUUUGGGAUAACUUCAGGAAACUGGGGCUAAUACCGGAUAGGAGCUCCUGCUGCAUGGUGGGGGUUGGAAAGUUUCGGCGGUUGGGGAUGGACUCGCGGCUUAUCAGCUUGUUGGUGGGGUAGUGGCUUACCAAGGCUUUGACGGGUAGCCGGCCUGAGAGGGUGACCGGCCACAGUGGGACUGAGAUACGGCCCAGACUCCUACGGGAGGCAGCAGUGGGGAAUAUUGCACAAUGGGCGGAAGCCUGAUGCAGCAACGCCGCGUGCGGGAUGACGGCCUUCGGGUUGUAAACCGCUUUCGCCUGUGGCGAAGCGUGAGUGACGGUAAUGGGUAAAGAAGCACCGGCUAACUACGUG
rnacentral:rRNA from 1 species